CAGCAGCCGCGGGAAAACGUAGGGUGCAAGCGUUAAUCGGAAUUACUGGGCGUAAAGCGUGCGCAGGCGGUUAUAUAAGUCAGAUGUGAAAUCCCCGGGCUCAACCUGGGAACUGCAUCUGAGACUGUAUGGCUAGAGUGUGUCAGAGGGGGGUAGAACUCCACGUGUUGCAGUGAAAUGCGUAGAUAUGUGGAGGAAUACCGAUGGCGAAGGCAGCCCCCUGGGAUAACACUGACGCUCAUGCACGAAAGCGUGGGGAGCAAACAGGAUUAGAUACCCGCGUAGUCCCUGUCUCUUAUAA
rnacentral:rRNA from 1 species